rnacentral:lncRNA from 1 species
GGAGAAUGAAAAGAAUGGGCAGCCUAGUGGUUGCUCAGGUGAGCGCAGGUACACAGACCAGGAAGUAUCUCUGCUCCUAACCUCUCUUUAUGUAUGCAUGAAGCUAAUUGUUCAAGUCCAGGGGAAACUGGUGAGGUUCCCCGAGGGAUUGAUUGCCUCACAGCUGCUAAGUAUACAGAGGCACCUUUUGGCAUUGCUGACUUCUCCUAUGCGAAGCCCUGGGCUCCGAAGUCACCUCUGUUUCCUGGCUUUCCAACAGGUAGUCCUCAUCCUCCUGGCCCCCAAUCUCCACUGCAUCAGAGACACCUGGACUUGGGGUCAGGUCUGGGGAGAAGCAGCAGCUGGACACGUUGCUCAAGCACCUUUCAGAUAAUGGGGGUGAGGUUCUGGAGGCUGGGAAGUCCGAGAUCAAUACAUCAGCAGAUUCAGUUUCUGGAGAGGGCCUGUCUCCUAGAAAGAGACGGAGUUUCACCAUGUUGCCUGAGAAUCAUGUGAUCCUCCCAGCAAUUUGAAUGGACACAAAACUAUGUUUGAAAUAUACAGCAAGAUGGCCACCUGCAAACCAGGAAGAGAGCCCCUACCAGGCUGGUACCUUAAUCUUAGACUUCUCAGCCUGCAGAUUUGUGAGAAAUAAAUGCUUGUUGUUAAAGCCA